UAGUGUUUUGGAAAGCUGGGACCUUUCUGU
rnacentral:piRNA from 1 species